UGACAUCUAACCAUCUUUGGAGGUCUAACU
rnacentral:piRNA from 1 species